rnacentral:lncRNA from 1 species
GGUAUGGCCCUGACAGAGUCAAGUACUUAGGCCCAUUCUCCGGUGAGCCCCCAAGCUACCUCAAGGGCGAGUUCCCCGGUGACUACGGCUGGGACACCGCUGGACUCUCAGCCGACCCAGAGACCUUCGCCAAGAACCGUGAGCUCGAAGUGAUCCACUCCAGAUGGGCCAUGCUCGGAGCUCUUGGAUGCGUUUUCCCCGAGCUCUUGUCCCGCAACGGUGUCAAGUUCGGCGAGGCUGUGUGGUUCAAGGCCGGAGCCCAGAUCUUCAGCGAGGGCGGUCUCGACUACCUGGGAAACCCUAGCUUGGUCCAUGCACAGAGCAUCUUGGCCAUCUGGGCUACCCAAGUUGUGUUGAUGGGAGCAGUUGAGGGAUACAGAAUUGCCGGCGGACCCCUCGGAGAGGUGACCGACCCCCUUUACCCCGGCGGAAGCUUCGACCCCUUGGGCCUUGCUGACGACCCAGAAGCCUUUGCCGAGCUCAAGGUGAAGGAGCUCAAGAAUGGAAGGUUGGCCAUGUUCUCCAUGUUCGGAUUCUUUGUCCAGGCCAUCGUCACCGGAAAGGGACCAUUGGAGAACCUUGCCGACCACCUCGCUGACCCAGUCGCCAACAAUGCCUGGAACUACGCCACAAACUUUGUUCCCGGAAAGUGAGAGCUCAGGAGUUGUCUUGUACUUUCGUUUGUAUUGUUGUCGGUGAUGUAAAUUUGGUACCAAGUAUUGGACAACAAUAAUUUGAACUAUGUGCUACAAUAUGUGUCUGAAAUUAAGAGGUUACAUGGUUCAGAUCCACCUAAAAUCUUUCCUCCAAACUGGAUUUUUUUAUUUCAAAAAACCUCGAUUCAAUUUAGGCAUAACUACAACUCAAUCUAUUCCUUUACUGGAACAACGAUUUUUCUUGAGUACAUACAAAUACCAACAUUUAGUAUCGACACAUGUUAGUUUGAGUGUUAAUCCCACCCAUGUACGUUUAUCUUAUGCUACUGGUUUGAAAUCCGAAUAAAGAAGAGAAAGUGCAUAAGAUAGUCGACAACCAACACUUUAUUCUUCAUAUCGAAUCCUUAAAAUAUGAAUCCUAAACGAACAUAUCAGUUUGAGUGUUGUUUUUGAUUCAACAGAUUAAACUGAGGGACAGAUGACCGUUGAUCAAAUAUGUGCCGGCAGGAUCCGAAUCAAAUCAUUCCGAGUUUACGACCAGUGCGAGCUCGGUUAUUUUAAUUUGCUUCUACGAAGGAAAAAGAUCCAACAA